rnacentral:rRNA from 1 species
AUUGAACGCUGGCGGCAUGCCUUACACAUGCAAGUCGAACGGUAACGCGGGGCAACCUGGCGACGAGUGGCGAACGGGUGAGUAACGCAUCGGAACGUGCCCAGUAGUGGGGGAUAGCCCGGCGAAAGCCGGAUUAAUACCGCAUACGACCUACGGGUGAAAGGGGGGGAUCGCAAGACCUCUCGCUAUUGGAGCGGCCGAUGUCAGAUUAGGUAGUUGGUGGGGUAAAGGCCUACCAAGCCGACGAUCUGUAGCUGGUCUGAGAGGACGACCAGCCACACUGGGACGGAGACACGGCCCAGACACCGACGGGAGGCAGCAGUGGGGAAUUUUGGACAAUGGGCGAAAGCCUGAUCCAGCCAUGCCGCGUGCGGGAAGAAGGCCUUCGGGUUGUAAACCGCUUUUGUCAGGGAAGAAAUCUUCUGGGUUAAUACCUCGGGAGGAUGACGGUACCUGAAGAAUAAGCACCGGCUAACUACGUGCCAGCCGCCGCAGUAAAAC